rnacentral:lncRNA from 1 species
GGGCAAGCCCACCUCAAGCCUCCCUUUAUAAAAGCUUCACAUUCAGAUAAGUAAAACCGCGUUCUUUGUUUCGGAACUGUGGGAGGCAGAGUGGUCCACAAAGAUGUCCACGUCUUAAUCCCAGGAACCCAUGAAUAUGUUGUGUGAUGUGGCAAAGGGGGCUUUUCAGAUGUCAUUAAGGGUUACACUUUAAAAUGGAUUGUCCUGGAUUGUCCAGGCAGGCCCAGUCUAAUCGCAUGAGCCCUUGAAAGCAGAGAACUUUCUCCAACUGGAAGCAGAGGAGAGCGACAGCAGAUGGAGUCAGAGAGGUUCCAAGAACGAGAAGGAUUCGCUGUGCCUUUCCCAUCUCUAAGAUGCACAGACUGUGUGCAAGGACCAGAGAGAGGCCUCCUGGAGCUCAGGGAGGCCCCAGCUGACAGCCACAAGGAAACGGGGACCUCAGCCUUACAACCACGGGGAACUGGGUGCUGCAAAUGGCCUGGAAGAGCUUGACAGGGAAUUUUCCCCUGAGCCUCCCAGUGAGAGCCCAGCUGGUCGACAUCUUGAUUUCAGCCCUUGAGACCAGAGACAGAGAAAUCAAUGGAGCCGACCCAGCCUUCUGACCACAGACCUGUGAGAUGAUCACUGGGACAUCUCGCCUCUGUGCAUGGGCUCCCACCGGGUCUCCAUUCUCCUCCACCCACUUCCGUCUUCCCAACCAGGAAUCCAUGGAAGAUGGUGGGAUCCCAUGGUCCCAGCUACAGGAUGUGGGGCAAAGAAAUGAAAGCAGGCCCUUCCUCUCCCUUCCAGAAUGAACCGCUCGCUCCCUUUCCUUCCUGGCUUACUGACUUUCACAAACAUUCAGGAAUUCGGGAAUGGAAGGAAUCAGAUGUAAGUCCGUCUGGAGGUGGGAGACCAGUGCUACCGUGUUAUUCUCUGGGGGUUCGGAAUGACCAAGGCCAGUGCAGGCUGACUCAUGAAAGCUACUUUAACAAAGUCAGCGAUCAGAGCAGCUGUGGAGAACCUGCAAAUAAAUCAAGGCUCAGGGAAGCCUGCUGCACUGAAAACCGCAGGAAGAAAGAGCAGAGAUUUGAGCGAUGGUUAUCCAUAAGACUUUCUCCCAGAACCUAAUGUUCCGGAAAAAUCUUCCUAAUUAGUCAUUAAUUGGUCCAUUAUCAGCACCACGUGCCAAGGAUUAAGUGGGUGAUUCCCACCGUUUCUAGAGAGCAAGGUGCUGCAUCUGAUCCGCCAGGCAGGGCGCUCCUUUGCUCGUGUAACGGCUGCAGCCAGCUCCCGCCAGCUCUGCAGAAACAACGCUGGUCCCCAUCUUUGAAGCAGAGUCCUGAGCCCUUCCCCCACCACGCGGAGCAACAUUUCUAUCCUUCAGGCUGACUUUCAUUUCCCGCUUGUUGGGUAGACAGUUUUUUGAGAAUGGAUUUUUCCUCCCAAAGAACGCUUUGUUGUGUAAGUCUCAUUCUCCUGCUCAAGGCCUUCCUGUUUCCGACCUCUUGGUCAUUCAAGGAGACGGCAGAUGUUUUAGAGCCGAGGGAAUGGUGGUACAUGGAAAGAGAGAGAGAGAUGGCUCUGGCAAUCGGAAGUCUGAGGUCUGAAGCCCAGUUUUCCACCUUGGACAUAUUGGCUUCAUCUGUAGCAGUGU